rnacentral:misc_RNA from 1 species
UCUCCGUAGGUGAACCUGCGGAGGGAUCAUUCACAUGAUUUACUUUAUAAACAAACUGUGAACUUUAUUAUCAUACUAUUCUUGUAGGGAUUAUUUUAUGAUCUUUUACAACGUCAUUCGAUGAACAUUAGAUAGUUGGCUUGUUUUUUUUAAUAAAAAACUUUCUCAGCUGAUUUGUUUGUUAGACUAAACAUCUAUUCAAUCAAUCAACCAAAAACAUAGAAACAACUCUAUGCCCUGGAUAUCUUGGUUCUC